rnacentral:rRNA from 1 species
CCCCUAGACGUUCUGGGCUGCACGCGCGCUACAAUAAUACGCACAGCGAGUAUCACCGAGCUCGAAAGGGCAAGGUAAACAAUAGAAAAGGUACUGUAAUGGUUAUAGAUCCUUGUAAUUAUUGAUCUUCAACGAGGAAUUCCUAGUAAGUAUGUGUCAUCAUCACGCACUGAUUACGUCCCUGCCCUUUGUACACACCGCCCGUCGCUCCUACCGACGAAUCGUCCGGUGAAGUUCAUGGAGUGGUGGUUGUUCCAGCUGCUGUCGAAGUGAAAUGGACCUCACGAUUUAGAGGAAGGAGAAGUCGUAACA